AGUGGGGGAUAACGUAGCGAAAGUUACGCUAAUACCGCAUAUGCCCUGAGGGGGAAAGGGGGGGAUCGCAAGACCUUUCGCUUUCGGAGUGGCCGAUAUCAGAUUAGCUAGUUGGUGGGGUAAAGGCCCACCAAGGCGACGAUCUGUAGCGGGUCUGAGAGGAUGAUCCGCCACACUGGGACUGAGACACGGCCCAGACUCCUACGGGAGGCAGCAGUGGGGAAUUUUGGACAAUGGGGGCAACCCUGAUCCAGCCAUGCCGCGUGAGUGAAGAAGGCCUUCGGGUUGUAAAGCUCUUUCAGCCGGAAAGAAAUCGCCACUCCUAAUACGAGUGGUGGAUGACGGUACCGGAAGAAGAAGCACCGGCUAACUACGUGCCAGCAGCCGCGGUAAUACGUAGGGUGCGAGCGUUAAUCGGAAUUACUGGGCGUAAAGCGUGCGCAGGCGGUUUUGUAAGACAGGUGUGAAAUCCCCGGGCUUAACCUGGGAACUGCAUUUGUGACUGCAAGGCUAGAGUGUGGCAGAGGGGGGUAGAAUUCCG
rnacentral:rRNA from 1 species